CACGAGAGCAGGGAUCUCUAAUGAGACUCUAUGUAAUCUUCAAAAAAUGCAUCCCAAGCCACAGGCGAAGGAGUACAGUAAGUUUGAGCACAGCUAAGAAAAAUUCCCGCUACUUCAGCAUCUAGUGCAGGUGUCUGGGACAAAGCCCCACAGGAUUAGACUGGAAUCCUCAUGUUCAGAUAAAGUUGGACUGAAUCUUGCUGCAGCAGAGACUCAAAGCAAUAACGUAUUGGCACACAGCAUUCACCAUCUGCAUUCAGUAGCCAUGAAUAUUUAAAUUCCAAUGUUACUGGUAUGGUUCGUAUUAGGAUGUCAUGUAUCGAUGCAUUCCUAAAUUUUGCAUGCAGCAGGCAGAAAGCAGGAACUUAUUACAGAAACAGGCAGGCUGUACAGUGCUGGGGAGCUACAAAACUACACCGAGGGAUCCGGAGCUAGAGAGGGUUUCAGGGUAGCAGUUUGAAGCCGCCUUAAAUCUAGGGGCACCUGGGGAAAUACUUAGAAACCCUGUAUGAUGGUUUGGCAGAUCGAGCCCACAUGGCUGGAAGGUGCUCCCUGAUCUCCCGAGCAGAUUAUUAAUGUGCUUGCUCCAGGGAUGGCUCGCAGGGACGCCCCAGCACAGGCACGUAUCCAGCUGCAGAGGGGAUGGAGGUUGGGACUGGGCUUUGUAUCCCUAUCUCUGAUUACUGGAAGGGGUUCAGGAAAAGACAGACAGUAUCUGCACCAUCCCAGAAGUUAGCAGAUGUGUAUGUCGUCCAAGUCUUUCACGGAGAAAAAUAAGGAGCCUGGCGAUGGCAGUCGAGGUCCUAACAGGAAGGAUUAAGGGAGAGAUUAAUUUGUACCACAGAAGUCAAGGGAUGUGCCAGCAGGAAACAGGGAAAGCAGCAGAAGCAUCUACCCACAACGCCUGAGCGGUCGCAGCAACUAUUGCCUCUCAUCUGUCGAGGACUGGAGCUUUCUGAAAUCACACCUGUCCCCUGGAAUGUGACAUUUUAUACUUGUAAAAACACAGAUUCGCACAAGAAUGACAGCGCGCAGCUUAUUUUUCCUAGAGGAGGCUUAACGCAAAGUUUGGUGAAGCUCUCCAGGAUCCUCAGAAGAAAGCUUAGACAACAGGAGUGCCCAAAUGCUCUCUCUGAACUGGCAGCUCCACCUGAGCCAUCCCAGGAAAAAAAAAAAUAAAUAAAAUGAAGUGUUUUUAAAAAUGUAUCCAUCUUCUCACUGCAUCUGCUAGGAGCCUUCCUGUACAGAGACAUAAAGGAUGGUCAAAGGCUGGAGAGGGUUUGGACUGACGUUACCACCCCUACAAGAAGAAUCCUUCUGCGGAGGGAAGUGAGAUCAGUCUGCCAGGAAAAUCCUUGCCAGGAGGAAUUGCUCCCCUUCUGCCUCGAGUCUGUUUUACACCAGCACUCAACAAGCAGCUCCAACAGCGCUUCGCUGCAAGGGAGGAGAGGAAAAGGCCUCGAGUUAGUGCUGGAGACUACUAAAGGGAGGAAACAAAGCUCUUCUGGGGUACAAAUCUGGUAAUGGAUCUGUAACAGAGCCUCUUAGAGAAGCUGGUGAAACCUCCAGAGCAAGUUUUGCAGUAGAUUUUGACAUUCAGACUGCAGUGCACCUGUUCCCAAACAGUUGUUGAGGUUUUUAGCUGAAGCUUUAGGUUUGUGGACAUUGAUACAACAUCUGAGGUUGUUUCUGUAGCCCGGCUCGUCAAUACAGUCAUGCAGGAAGAGACAGGUGCAGCGAGCUGAAUUGUUCUUUGAGGGAUAGUUUGGGGUAAUGCGAGAGCGCGCGGGGCUGGCCGCCACAGCGCUCAGAUCAUCCAGGGCUCUGGUGUUAAAGGGAUCCAGUUGGAGCCUCAAUCAAAUCUCUCCUAAUAUUAUCUAAAAAGACUCGGCGAACAAACAGAAUGAACAAUCGAAGCAUGAAAAGUGAGGCAAGUCCUGAGGGAAAAGAAAAAAAGAGAAAGGAAAAAAAAAAACAGCAAGCCAGGGUCUACCACAAAAACACCGCCACAACGUGAAAGAAAAUUCUUGAUCUGGCCCCAGUGGCCGCUCCCUGUGCUGCUGGAGAUCAGAUGUACGAAGCUGCAAUUUUGUCUAGCGACUGGAGUGAGCUAAGGACAGGAUGGAUAUUUGCCCACAUUUUUUCAGCCUUCACUCUGUCUCCUGACUUUUGUGGGUUUAAGUUACGUUCUGAGUGCUAUUCGAACAGAGCUGUCUUCGGUGCACGUCUCCGAGUGCCAUCAGAGAUCAGGAGAGGGGAGUGCUGCAAGUCACACUGGCAGAAGAGGUUGUCACAGGUCCACCUUGCAGAAAUCUCGGUUGCAAGAGCAGCAAGUGCACAGCUAACGGGCACCAGAGGAGCGGUGUCAGGCCUCCUGGGGAGGGCCACGCUGCUCUGGGAUGCCCUCACCAGGGCUUUGGAGAUGGCUUCGAAUGCCACAGACAGAGCCUGCUGGUGGGUAACCUCAAGAAGAGCUCUCUGCUUCCCUUUCUCCAACAUCCCUUGGUUCCUAAACAGGCCUGGGAGCAUUCUCCUGUUUCCCAGGGACAACAGAAGGUAAAUUUAAGAACCAAAAGCAAACCAAGCAACCCAACUGGUACCUGUAGGGUCGAUCUACGGCUCUCCAGUUCGCAGACACUUUUCACUUGAAUGUCCACUUGUCAUCAGCCUGGAUCCCCAUUUCUAGGGAUCCCUGUACUCCUUUCCCCCUGUAUGACUUUUUUCUUUACUUUUCUGAAUAACCGUGCCUCUGUUCAGAGGGGUGAGUGCGUUCCCAUUACUCAGAAGUAGCGGCUGUCCUCAUUUUUGUCCUGCAGGUGGGGAAAGGGAAGUGCGCAGCAGGUCUGUAACUUGCUCCACGUUUCAGGACCUGUGGGGAGUGGAGGCAGAAGCAAACCCUUCAUCCUGCACCUCUUCCCUCCCUGCUCAUCCCUCUGUUCAGAUAAGAAACCCCGAAGCUCGGUGCACGAAGAGCAGAGCCAGCUCCUGGAGGGCUGCCUGUGCCCACUGCCUGCUCUGAGGGCAACGUGUGCCCAACCUGGGCACGCAAGGGAGAGGAAAGAACCGACUCUCUGGGAAAAUCCAUAGCUCUGGAGUCCCUUGAAGAAAACGUGGGCCAUCUGGAAAGGCUGUGCUUUCUUUGUGCUUUGUAGGACCUAAUGGAAAACGAAUGCCCUGACGCAUUGUGCUGCUCACCAGCAGCCCAAAGCCCCACGGAGAACAAGUUACCCCGCUCUGAGUGUAGCUGGGCGUAUUUCAGCCUGGCAAAUUUCUGCACUGGUCUAAAAUUCAAGCUGCCUGUUUGCUUCCCUGUGUGUCUCAAGGAAUUCCAGCUCCUGGGUCCAUAUUUUGUCUCCGCCCCGCAGCACCUGCUGGCUGCAGACAGGCGAGCCGUAGCGCCGACAAAAAGUCUGACACGAGGCAGAAAGCCUGAGUCUUGCACCUGACCAACCCGUCUGCGCCCAGCUGAGGGGUCUGGGGCCACAUAUCUGCCCUAUAUUUAGGCGGUGACACCCUCAGAAAGUCAGCACAGCCACACCUGACCGCGCAGAAGAUCUCUUUGCCUGCCACCAGAGUCAGCCGGCUCCGGUGGCCGAACGUCACGCGGCGCUUUUAGACCCGGGGCACGCUCUGCAGAGGAGCUGCGGGAGGUAACCCGAUCGGUGGGGCAAUCGCUCGGGACUGGACAUCGUGGGAGCUAUA